rnacentral:rRNA from 1 species
GAUGAACGCUAGCGGCAGGCCUAAUACAUGCUAGUCGAACGGUGUCUUCGGACAUAGUGGCGCACGGGUGCGUAACACGUAUGCAACCUACCUUACAUUGGGGGAUAGCCUUUCGAAAGGGAGAUUAAUACCGCAUAAGACAGUAGCUGGGCAUCCAGCAGCUGUUAAAGAUUUAUCGAUGUAAGAUGGGCAUGCGUCCAAUUAGUUAGUUGGCGAGGUAACGGCUCACCAAGACUUUGAUUGGUAGGGGAACUGAGAGGUCAAUCCCCCACACUGGCACGAGGAUGCGGGCCAGACUCCUACGGGAGGCAGCAGUAGGGAAUAUUGGGCAAUGGACGCAAGUCUGACCCAGCCAUGCCGCGUGCAGGAUGAAGGCGUUAUGCGUUGUAAACUGCUUUUAUACAGGAAGAAACGACUCUUGCGAGAGGCAUUGACGGUACUGUAUGAAUAAGCACCGGCUAACUCCGUGCCAGCCGCCGCCGUAAAAC